rnacentral:rRNA from 1 species
AUUGAACGCUGGCGGCAUGCUUUACACAUGCAAGUCGAACGGCAGCGCGGGCUUCGGCCUGGCGGCGAGUGGCGAACGGGUGAGUAAUACAUCGGAACGUGCCCAGUAGUGGGGGAUAGCUCGGCGAAAGCCGGAUUAAUACCGCAUACGACCUGAGGGUGACAGCGGGGGAUCUUCGGACCUCGCGCUAUUGGAGCGGCCGAUGGCAGAUUACCUAGUUGGUGGGGUAAAGGCCUACCAAGGCGACGAUCUGUAGCUGGUCUGAGAGGACGACCAGCCACACUGGGACUGAGACACGGCCCAGACUCCUACGGGAGGCAGCAGUGGGGAAUUUUGGACAAUGGGCGAAAGCCUGAUCCAGCAAUGCCGCGUGUGUGAUGAAGGCCUUCGGGUUGUAAAGCACUUUUGGCGGGAACGAAAGGGACUGUGCCAAUACCACGGUUCGAUGACGGUACCCGCAGAAUAAGCACCGGCUAACUACGUGCCAGCCGCCGCCGUAAAAC